AUUGAACGCUGGCGGCAGGCCUAACACAUGCAAGUCGAACGCGUGGCGGACGGGUGAGUAAUGUCUGGGAAACUGCCUUAUGGAGGGGGAUAAUUACUGGAACCGGUAGCUAAUACCGCAUACCAUACGCUUUGCCCAGAUGGGAUUAGCUAGUAGGUGGGGUAAAGGCUCACCUAGGCCACGAUCCCUAGCUGGUCUGAGAGGAUGACCAGCAACACUGGAACUGAGACACGGUCCAGACUCCUACGGGAGGCAGAAGUGGGGAAUAUUCCACAAUGGGCGCAAGCCUGAUGCAGCCAUGCCGCGUGUAUGAAGAAGGCCUUCGGGUUGUAAAGUACUUUCAGCGGGGAGGCGGUACCCGCAGAAGAAGCACCGGCUAACUCCGUGCCAGCAGCCGCGGUAAUAC
rnacentral:rRNA from 1 species